rnacentral:rRNA from 1 species
UAAUACCGGAUAUUAUGAGAUUCUCGCAUGGGAAACUUAUGAAAGCUAUAUGCGCCAAGAGAGAGCCUUGCGUUCCAUUAGCUAGUUGGUGGGGUAACGGCCCACCAAGGCGACGAUGGAUAGCCGGCCUGAGAGGGUGAACGGCCACAAGGGGACUGAGACACGGCCCUUACUCCUACGGGAGGCAGCAGUGGGGAAUAUUGGACAAUGGGCCACAAGCCUGAUCCAGCAAUUCUGUGUGCACGAUGAAGGUCUUCGGAUUGUAAAGUGCUUUCAGUUGGGAAGAAGAAAGUGACGGUACCAACAGAAGAAGCGACGGCUAAAUACGUGCCAGCAGCCGCGGUAAUACGUAUGUCGCAAGCGUUAUCCGGAUUUAUUGGGCGUAAAGCGCGUCUAGGCGGAAAAAUAAGUCUGAUGUUAAAAUGCGGGGCUCAACUCCGUAUUGCGUUGGAAACUGUUUUUCUAGAGUACUGGAGAGGUGGGCGGAACUACAAGUGUAGAGGUGAAAUUCGUAGAUAUUUGUAGGAAUGCCGAUGGAGAAGUCAGCUCACUGGACAGAUACUGACGCUAAAGCGCGAAAGCGUGGGGAGCAAAC